rnacentral:lncRNA from 1 species
GUUUGUGCCUUGCAAGGCUUGUCAAACUCUCUCAGCUACAGCCAAAACUUAAGUAUUUUCCCAGCAGCGAAAGGCAGCUGCUCAUUUGAGGAAGCGGAGUGGGCACACGCCCCCACACUGAAGGCCGCACCUUACCAGACCCGCCCUCUGGGUGCUGGGAUGGCUGUAAAGGAGGAGGACCCAGCCAAGCAGCCAGACUCAUCCCAGCUCCGGGAAGGCUGAGUACACUGAAGGAUUCUGCAGGAAAUGACAAGAAGCUGAAGAACUGUUCCGUUGAGGUAAGACUUGGGAUUGUGGUCAUCAUGAACGAAGCACAGUAACGACUGAGAGAGUCACUGGAAGCCAGUACACACACAGGCACUCUCGAUGAGGCAGCCUCAUGAGCAAUGUAACCACCAUUAAAUACAUGGUAUUAGGAAGCUGCAGAAGAACUACGUUGUUUCAGUACAAACAAGUCCAGAAAAGCCACAGCAUUGUGAGUCAUAAUCACGUUGCAUGAGAGAUUUACAAUUAGCUAAGAUUUUUAACAAAAAAGAACAUGACGAGAUGGUUCCUGGACCCAAACAGAAAGAGACAGUACCUGGACACUAAGAAGAAUCUUCACAAAGGAGGACAAUAAAUAAAUGUGUGUACAACAUAAUGAUUCGAUAUUUGUAUAUAUUGUGAAAUAAUCACCACGGUAUGCACUGAUCAAAGAUUCUAGUAAGAUGCCUGUGGCAGGCAUCACAGAGAGAGACCCAGAUCUGUCUGUUCCAACAGCCUACUCUGAAGUCACCAAAAUGAAGGAAGAGAAAAGAGCUGAGUAUUUAACCAACUUCCCUCUUCCAGGAGGUUGCAGAAUCUGGGUUCAGUAACAAGGUCCUCCUAAAGAACGCUCCCCACAGAGCUGCCUAGAUAUAAAGGUCUUUCAGGAGAAGAUAUGAAGAGGAAAGAUGAAGGCAUUAGAUUUUCCGUUUUUUCUUUGGCUUCUGGUCAGAAUCAGCUGCAAGUCUCCACUAAGGGGGGAUGUCCAGCCCAUCUGUCAUCCUUGGUCAUACAAGCCCCACAGGAUCCUCAUCAGGCAAAUGUGGGAAAUGCUGGGCUGCAGGGCUGUAUGAGGACAUACAGGACUGGUGAGCAACACUGAGAGCCCAUUUUUGCUUCAAGAAUUGCCUAUCAUUCCACUUAUAUGAGCGAGCCGUCAAAAUCAUAGAGAAAGUAGAAGCGUGGUUGCCAGGGGCUGGGGGAGGGAGG